CUUGGGUAUUUUUACAUUAAGCUUUCAUCCCUCUUCUUUGCAGAAAUGGAAUAUAUUUUGAAUUUGCAAAAACAAGAUCCAAAUCGAGCAGUCCUCUACAGUGAGUCAUGGGACGGACCUGCUCAGUGAAGCUGUGUCUGGACACUAUAUCUCAGAUGAACUCUGCUGCAAAAAGAUGUGCUUGAGGAACAUGGCUGCUGCCUCUGAACAUCCUGAAUCAGAACUAAUCCAAUGGUUUAGAAAGGACCUUGUUACCCGUCAGCAGUCAAGGCUGAGCGCAGAGGAACAGAGUGCGCUUGGGAAAACGGGUUAGCUGGUUUUAGAAUAUUAGAAUGGAAGAACAGGAGCUGUGGAACUCAACUCUAAUGCGGAUAUGUUGCUGAAGACAAUUUCGAUGACUUAGGGGACAUACAACUCACACGUCAAACACUCAUGAUAACCCUGUCAUGACAUUUGGUUGGGCGGAAGCUUCUCCUUUAAGUACUCACAGACCUAAGAGAGUGUCCAGGAGGGAAGCAUGUCACCAUGUGUGCCCUCUUGAAUUCAAAUAAUCAUGUAGUGGUCACAUUGAAUUCAUUUGGGCACAGAACCGAAGAGUGUCGCUCUACAGUGAAUUAACAUACUGUGGCCAGAGGAACUACAUGGCUUUUUUGUUUUUUGGAGAUUCAGGGGAAUCGGACUCCAUUUAUGUGUGGGGGACGGUUAGUUCAAGCCUUUGGGAUUAAAUAAUUGUCUUAAUUUAAUUUCUGGACAAUUUUGGAUCAGUCCUGUUAGUGACGCGUCUCCACUUCGUUUGUUUUGUUUUUGUUUUUUUUUCUUCCUUCUUUUUCUUUUCAUUGAAAUACUUAAAAACUCCCAGGGCAGGUUAUGAGGUACACUCGGAUUGGGAAACCACACGCCCUGUAGUGUGCAUGUGCAGUAUGCUGCUCUGUGCGUCCUCUUUUGGAAGAGUUCAAAGUGCUAUCGUUCAAUAGUCUUAUUGUCGUCUCUUCACGCUUCUGUCACCUGACAGCCAUUCGAGUCUCUUGCUCAUUGUGUGAGUGUGUAAACGGAGGACAGAGAUCACGCUAUACUCUUUUAUCUUGAGUGUUUUAUGUUUUUAAUUUUUAAGUAGCAGUUAGAACCCAGAACUAAUCGAUAAGAUGUGCCACACCACAGAGUUGCUUUAGCUUCAAUGCUAUAGGUACAUUAUGGAGGCUUUAGUUCGUUUUGGUUAAGUUCUGUAGAGCUGCUCUUCGAAAUAGGGCUUUGUUUUUGCCUGGAAAGGCAGUAGCGACUACUUUUGCUUCAUUUGGGACUACACCACAAUUUAGAGGGAACCUACGUAGAGAGCAGUCGCUGGCGAACGAUCCGGACUUUUUAUUUCACUCAAGAGACUAGAAUCCCCUAGUGUUUUUUUUUUUAUGAUUAUUGAGCACCACAAUCACACUUUUAUGCUUUUUAUUUCUUGUAUGUUUUAAUUUGUACCUGGGUUUCCAUGCUUAUCGGUUAAGCGCUUGCUAAAGCACAUAUGAGCCUCAUCAAUAGAACCGCCGUUAACAGGAAUUCUGCCGUUGUGUACAUGUUUCUCUUUCUAAUGUCAGAAAAUGCAUUCUUAACUUACAGUCUAUCCUCUGUUUUAUCAUUUCACAGAUUAAUUGAUUUAUACAUAAGAAUCAGUAGCACUUUAUGUAUUAUGUUCUUGAAUUGUAUUUCCUUAAACAUUGACAUAUCAGUACA